GGGGGCAAUGAGGCAGUUUUUCACAGUGGACUCUGGCAGGUCCUGCUCUGGUGAAUGGACACGACAGCCCAGGAGAAGGUGACUGGGAGCCCAUGAGGACAAAUGGGACACAACGCAGAAGCCUGUCUUGAGACCUUCCAGCUGGUUUGCAUUUCCUCAUGGGAUAGGAGCCCUCUCUUGUAGACUGGGAAGGCAGUGGGACCACCACACGAUUUUAUGGAUCCAUUUUCACUUUUCCAGAUGCAAAGAGAGGAGCCGUGAUUACCUUGCGUACGUUUUGAUAACGUCCCUUGGGCAAGAGUUGUGGUUAAGAACGUCAUGACCCUCAGAAAUUCGGGAAAGAUGUGCACUUGGCUGAUGCCUGUGGCAGAGUCUGGCUCUCAGCCUUCUGUUCCGCAGUCCCUGAAGCCCAGGACUAUGAAAGUGCCCCAUUGACCACAGGGUUCCAGGGUCCACCUAUUGUCGCCAGAGACAAACCUCCAAGAGCACCAUGUUUGAUCAGAGCCUGGAUCCCAUCUGGGAGGAGGAGAGGGAAUCCCAUGAGCAAAUAGACACCAAGAGAGUCCCAGCAGGACAGAGGCAAGUGGGUAGAAGAGAACAUCCCUGGUGGUGAGAAUAUGGC